AUUGAACGCUGGCGGCAGGCCUAACACAUGCAAGUCGAGCGAGCGGCGGACGGGUGAGUAAUGUCUGUGAAACUGCCUGAUGUAGGGGGAUAACUACUGGCAACGGUAGCUAAUACCGCAUACGAUCAGAUGUGCCCAGAUGGGAUUUGCUAGUAGGUGGGGUAAAGGCUCACCUAGGCGACGAUCCCUAGCUGGUCUGAGAGGAUGACCAGCCACACUGGAACGGAGACACGGUCCAGACUCCUACGGGAGGCAGCAGUGGGGAAUAUUGCACAAUGGGCGCAAGCCUGAUGCAGCCAUGCCGCGUGUAUGAAGAAGGCCUUCGGGUUGUAAAGCACUUUCAGCGGGGAGGCGUUACCCGCAGAAGAAGCACCGGCUAACUCCGUGCCAGCAGCCGCGGUAAUAC
rnacentral:rRNA from 1 species